rnacentral:rRNA from 1 species
UACGAAGGGGGCUAGCGUUGCUCGGAAUCACUGGGCGUAAAGCGCACGUAGGCGGAUUGCUAAGUCAGGGGUGAAAUCCUGGAGCUCAACUCCCGAACUGCCUUUGAUACUGAAGAUCUUGAGUUCGGGAGAGGUGAGUGGAACUGCGAGUGUAGAGGUGAAAUUCGUAGAUAUUCGCAAGAACACCAGUGGCGAAGGCGGCUCACUGGCCCGAUACUGACGCUGAGGCACGAAAGCGUGGGGAGCGAACAGG